rnacentral:rRNA from 1 species
CCUACGGGGGGCAGCAGUAGGGAAUAUUGCUCAAUGGGGGAAACCCUGAUGCAGCAACGCCGCGUGGGGGAUGAAGGUUUUCGGAUUGUAAACUCCUUUUGUCAGAGAAGAUAAUGACGGUAUCUAACGAAUAAGCACCGGCUAACUCCGUGCCAGCAGCCGCGGUAAUACGGAGGGUGCAAGCGUUACUCGGAUUCACUGGGCGUAAAGGGCGCGUAGGCGGGAGAGCAAGUCAGAUGUGAAAUCCUAUGGCUUAACCAUAGAACUGCAUUUGAAACUGUUCUUCUAGAGUAUGGGAGAGGUAGGUGGAAUUCUUGGUGUAGGGGUAAAAUCCGUAGAGAUCAGGAGGAAUACUCAUUGCGAAGGCGACUUGCUAGAACGUAACUGACGCUGAUGCGCGAAAGCGUGGGGAGCAAACAGGAUUAGAUACCCUUGUAGUC